CUGGAGGCGACCACAAGAAAUACACGUGUGGGAGGAAGGUUGACGUUGGAGUUUUACUAUCGUUGCAUCUUAUAGAGGGACAGCUGUAGCAUCACUGCUUAAACUGCACAUCAGCAGAUCAAUAUAGCCGUGUUGAUACUUGUGGAAUUCAUUCAACAUUUCUUUUCUUUAAUCACUUUUUUGUUUUGUUUUUUUAGUUUUUAGGAAAUUCACAGCGCGCAUCUGCCCGCUGAUGCGUAAAGAUCCGUGCGUAAAUAAUCGCCACUGCUCUGUCAUAGAAUGUCAGAGAGGAUUUAUUUCGACUUGAAACCUCAAUCAAGAGCUUCAUUACAUGACCGAGUGAUUGACACGGAGAGGAUUUGAUGGAGGUGGUUUGGUGACAAGGGCUUUUUUCUUUUUUUUCUUCCGGACUUUCAGUUUGGAUUGGCACCGCAGCGCCUUUAAACCUUCUGGACUUUUUAAUAUUUCAGUAGAGAGGAGAGUGGAUUCUGUAUCUGCAUGGGACCCUGACAGUUUGGGAUCUCUUGAUUGUCACGGCUAUCACCUUCUAUGUGUCACAAGAGGGGGAUUAAACUGAGCUGAAAUCCCCAUCAGGAAGAACUUUAUUUCCGAGAGCUUCCAGCAGUGAAUCAGUGGAGUAUUCAUGAAGCAAUAUUUGAACUAUUACAAGAUGAGGCUGAGAACAUCGAGGUUAGGUUAUCUGUUACUUCAGUUCACGGCGCUUUGCUUUUACGCACAGAACACUGUGCAGUCCCCUCCUAACUUCAAGCACCAUGUCACCGAGCAGAGCCGGCUGUCGGACCGGAUGAGCCGCAGGUUGACACGAACCUACCAGCUGUACAGCCGCACCAGCGGCAAACACGUCCAGGUCCUGGCCAACAAGAGGGUCAACGCCAACGGAGACGACGGAGCGGUUCACGCUAAACUGGAGGUGGAGACGGACUCUUUUGGAAGUCGUAUUCGCAUUAAAGGGGUGAAGACAGGAUACUACAUAUGUAUGAACAAGAGGGGGAAGCUGAUCGGCAAGCGGAAAGGACGAGGCAAAGACUGCAUCUUCACCGAGAUUGUUCUGGAAAACAACUACACGGCGCUGCAGAACGCCAAGUACGAGGGCUGGUACAUGGCUUUCACACGCAAGGGCCGUCCGAGGAAGGCCUCCAAGACCAAGCAGCACCAGAGGGAGGCCCACUUCAUGAAGCGUCUACCCAGGGGGCACUUGCUGGGCGAAAGGAGACCGUUUGAUGUCCUUCCUCUCCGUGUCCCCGCGCACCCUUUGAGCAAGCGGACUAAACAUUCCCAUCACCAGCGCUCAGGGGGCCGCUGAGGACUGAAACCACUGAGGGAGAACUGUGGACGAACCAGCACAGAGAAACCACUACAAGGAGAAACAAGUGCUCUCAGAGAAAUUAACUUUUACAGUCAAGUGCCCAUACACUUUUUGCCUCAUUUUGUGGACUUUGUGUAAUUCUUUGUAACCAUUGACUAUCUAAUCUGCUAGUUAUUUCCAAUUCAGACAGACUUUAGGACAGAUUUUUACUUGCUAAGUUGUGUGUGUGUGUGUGUGUGUGUGUGUGUGUUGUGUGUGUGAAUUAAGAGAAAAAACAUAAAAAAAGAAACCAGAAAAUGCAACAUAGUCACUCAUUGUAACAUGUUCCUCUCUUCUUCUG